rnacentral:rRNA from 1 species
CCGGCGCACGGGUGCGUAACGCGUAUGCAAUCUACCUUUAACUGGUGAAUAGCCCGAAGAAAUUCGGAUUAACACACCAUAAUAUAUUAGAGUGGCAUCACUUUAAUAUUAAAACUCCGGUGGUUAAAGAUGAGCAUGCGUGACAUUAGCUAGUUGGUGAGGUAACGGCUCACCAAGGCUACGAUGUCUAGGGGAUCUGAGAGGAUUAACCCCCACACUGGUACUGAGACACGGACCAGACUCCUACGGGAGGCAGCAGUAAGGAAUAUUGGACAAUGGUGGAAACACUGAUCCAGCCAUGCCGCGUGAAGGAUGACGGCCCUAUGGGUUGUAAACUUCUUUUGUACGGGAAAAAACCUCUUUACGUGUAAAGAGCUGAUUGUACUGUAAGAAUAAGGAUCGGCUAACUCCGUGCCAGCAGCCGCGGUAAUACGGAGGAUCCAAGCGUUAUCCGGAUUCAUUGGGUUUAAAGGGUGCGUAGGCGGAAUGAUAAGUCAGUGGUGAAAGCCUGCAGCUUAACUGCAGAACUGCCAUUGAUACUGUCAAUCUUGAGUACAUUUGAUGUGGGCGGAAUGUGUCAUGUAGCGGUGAAAUGCUUAGAUAUGACACAGAACACCGAUUGCGAAGGCAGCUCACAAAACUGUAACUGACGCUGAGGCACGAAAGCGUGGGUAUCAAACAGGAUUAGAUACCCUGGUAGUCCACGCUGUAAACUAUGAUUACUCGAUGUUUGCGAUACACUGUAAGCGUCUAAGCGAAAGC